GUGAAGAUGUGGAUUCUAGAACGUCACCUUUAAACUUGUGAAUAAGUAUCUAAACACCAGCAGAAUGAUUUGAUCCAUGACUGAAAUAGGCCUUAUCUUCCCAUAUAAGAUGGGAGGACCGGAAACCCAGUGACAACACUCAGGUCUGGCCCUGUAUUUACUAGAAAACGUAGCUCAUCCACCAUGGCAGAAGAGGAAGAUCCAGACUGUUGAUUGGGGAAACAAGAACAGACAAUGAAAGUUGAGUGUUGAGGGACCACUUGUCACAUUGUCCAAGAUGGGUUUGUGUUAUGAUGAUGUAUUUUCUGUCCAGAUUGGUACAGCAUUGAAAAAGACCCACCACUGACUAAAUGUCUAUUUGUUUUUCAGUCCAACAGGAGUGCAUCCCUCAGGCCAUCCGGUGCAUGGACAUCCUGUGCCAGUGUGAUCUGAGCGCACACGUCCAGUUGUAGAGCCUAGCAGAUCGAGCCUGUGGAUGGGCAGACAUGAGGCGUGACAUGCUCAACAUCAGGCUCACCCCACGAGAAGCUGUGCAUGAUUAAUUCCACCCUCAGCAAGGAGAUCUGAGGGUACUCUCACU